rnacentral:lncRNA from 1 species
GUAUUUCACGAAACGUGAGCAAAUUACAAACCCGGGAGCGGGGCUUUGAUGCUGAUGGUGCUGUCGGCUGUCCUCGCGUGUUGCUGUUUUUUCUUCAGCUUUUCGAUACUUUCCAAGUAUCUUUGCCCCUACCUACCUCCUUUCCUCGGCUCCCCAGACCUACCUUCGUCACCAAGUGUGUCUGGCAACUUUGCAAGGCAAAAGAAAGCUCACUUAACCUUGAGUUUUCCUAAGAAGUCCAUGAUUCUCUGUGGCCAUUUGACAGAAUAUGGGGGAGGCUGUUGGCCUUACUGCUCUGGAAUUCUAGGAUCAGAAGAACCAUCAUCAUUCACUCAUUUAUUCAUUCAGUAAGUAUAUAUGAAGUGCCUAUUAUGUACCCUUAUUGUGUAUUGUGUAUUGUGUAUGUGUAUGUGUAUGUGAGGUGGGGUAACAGAAGAAAAUCCUGACCUGAUGGAAGGAAUUUCCUUCAACUGGAAAUUACAGAUUUAGAUAUUGGUGGAGAUAAUCACAAUUGUUAGUUAUAUUGCUUUUGCUUUUUCUGUAUAGUCUUUCUUUUAGAGGCUAGAAGGUACUUUUUAUUUAAUUUUUUUUUAAUUUUUUUUAAUUUUAUUUAUUUAUGAUAGUCACAGAGAGAGAGAGAGAGAGGCAGAGACACAGGCAGAGGGAGAAGCAGGCUCCAUGCACCGGGAGCCCGAUGUGGGAUUCGAUCCCGGGUCUCCAGGAUCGCGCCCUGGGCCAAAGGCAGGCGCCAAACCGCUGCGCCACCCAGGGAUCCCUUAUUUAAUUUUUUAAAAGAUUCUAUUUUUUUAUUCAUGAGAAACACAGAGAGGCAGAGACAUAGGCAGAGGGAGAAGCAGGCUCCCUUCAGGGAGCACACGUUCAACCACGGAGCCACCCAGACAUUCCCUAGGAGGUACUUUUUAGAUGGAUAGAUAAAAAUUUAAUUGUUAAGUAUUUUGAGAUUUGACUGUGAGAAAGUAUUCUAGUCAUGAUGUUGAUUCUAGGCCUAGUAACAAGAACCGUUGUAUGGAUGAUGAAAUUGAGGCACAGAGAGGUUAGGUGACAUGCUAAGCUCACAGAGCUAGGCGCCAGACCCAGGGGUCUUAAUCCUCACGCCACACUGUCCUCUGGAGGAGCACCAGCUUAAGGACAAAGGCCUGACUGCUGUUAUGGAAUCCUUACUUGUAAAACAUAUCAGUUGGUUAAUGUACAGAUUUCAUGCUAUUUCAAUCAAAACUUCCAAUGAGGUGGGGGUGAGGGACUUCCAAUGCAUUUUUUUUCUUAACAAAAUAAUUCUUAAAUAUGUGUAAAAGAAUAACUCAGAUGGGAAUGAGGUAGAAGGCUAUGCAAU